UAUUAUUUUCGUAAAUCGCGUUGACCGAUUCAAUCGAAGAACGCUGUUGAUUUGCUCGUCGAUAUUAGCUACAAUCACUUUAUUUGUGUAUGCCGCCUAUUGUUUGCUUUGGAUGAAUCAAUCCGAAUAUCAGUGGAUUUCUUUGAUUCCAACCGUGUGCUUUGUAUUGAUCAUUUUCUUCAGCUUGAUGGGACAGUUUCCCAUACCUUUUAUUGUCAUGACUGAAAUAUUUCCAAAAAAGAUACGACAGUCAUCUCUUGCACUAGCCAAUUCAUUUUU